AGCAACAUUCAGUGGGGAAAAUAAAUAGAAUAAAUGAAUGUAUUAAUGCUAUGAAAACACGUUGUCACAAUACAGACAUUGAAAAAUCUCCUACCUUUUCCCUUUUCAUACAUCCGUGGGAAUAAUGGUCUCCAUCUUGUGAUUCGGUAUCCAUCUGUUAUAAUAUAUGAAUGGGACGUACAAGGGUUGGAUUUAGUUUAUUGUUAUAAUCAUUCCUAUUGGUGUUUGUGUCUGGUUUGACACCAUGAAGAUAAACGAGAACACUGGAGGGACACAAAGUUGUGUUGGUUCCUUACAAUGUAAACCACGUGGCCAGGUAUCAUGAAUGGAUGAAGUGUCCAGAGCUGCAGCAUCCCAGUAUAGAAGAGGAGCAGUGCACAGAUCCCAGUAUAGAAGAGGAGCAGUGCAUGGUGGGAGAUGUCAGCAUUAUCCUGACGGACCCAACAGACCUCUCCUCGGCUGAGCUGAAGAUCAUGAUAGCAGGUUCUGAUCCUCCAAAUGGCCAGAAACCAGGCAUCCAUGGCUCUGGAAUUCUUCCUUGAUGCUGCAAAGAAACGUGACUCCAUCCAGCCUGUCUUGAAGCCAAGAUGACCUGGACACAACUGGGAAGACUUAUUGCUGUCAACCCUCAUGAAAGCCUUGUGCAGAACAAGACAUUUUUCCAAUGUGUGGCCCCUACAAAUCGGGCUGUUUCA